CCUACGGGAGGCAGCAGUCGGGAAUAUUGCACAAUGGGGGAAACUCUGACGCAGUGACGCCGCGUAUGCGAAGAAGUUUUUCGGAUUGUAAACUAUUAUCAGUAGGAACGAUAAAAGACUGUACCUGAGUAAGAAGCCCCGGCUAACUAUGUGCCAGCAGCCGCGGUAAUACAUAGGGGGCAAGCGUUAUCCGGAAUUAUUGGGUGUAAAGGGUGCGUAGACGGAAGAACAAGUCUGUUGUGAAAUGCCUCGGCUCAACUGAGGAACUGCAAUGAAAACUAUUCUGCUUGAGUGUAGGAGAGGAAAGUGGAAUUCCUAGUGUAGCGGUGAAAUGCGUAGAUAUUAGGAGGAACACCAGUGGCGAAGGCGACUUUCUGGACGAUAACUGACGUUGAGGCACGAAAGCGUGGGGAGCAAACAGGAUUAGAUACCCGAGUAGUC
rnacentral:rRNA from 1 species